rnacentral:rRNA from 1 species
AGUGAACGCUGGCGGCAGGCCUAAUACAUGCAAGUCGAACGGCAGCACAGCAGAGCUUGCUCUGUGGGUGGCGAGUGGCGGACGGGUGAGGAAUACGUGGGAAUCUGCCCAGUCGUGGGGGAUAACGUAGGGAAACUUACACUAAUACCGCAUGCGCCCUUCGGGGAAAGCCGGGGACCUUCGGGCCUGGCGCGAUUGGAUGAGCCCACGUCGGAUUAACUAGUUGCGGGGUAAAGGCCCACCAAGGCGACGAUCCGUAGCUGGUCUGAGAGGAUGAUCAGCCACACUGGAACUGAGACACGGUCCAGACUCCUACGGGAGGCAGCAGUAGGGAAUAUUGGACAAUGGGCGCAAGCCUGAUCCCAGCCAUGCCGCGUGAGUGAAAGAAGGCCCUCGGGUUGUAAAGCUCUUUUGUCCGGAAAGAAAAGCGCCGGGUUAAUACCCUGGUGUCCUGACGGUACCGGAAGAAUAAGACACCGGCUAACUUCGUGCCAG